rnacentral:pre_miRNA from 11 species
GCCCGCACGGGAUAAUCUAUUAUCCCGUGCGCGCGUCUUAAUACGUCCGCACGCGAUAAUAUUGAUUAUCCCGUGCGGUC